UUUAUUUUAAUAACAAUCUCCCU
rnacentral:snRNA from 1 species